AGUGAACGCUGGCGGUAGGCCUAACACAUGCAAGUCGAACGGCAGCACAGUAAGAGCUUGCUCUUACGGGGUGGGGGAGGCGGGCGGGUGAGGAGUGCAACGGAAUCUACUUUUUGGGGGGGGUUCACGAAGGGGAACUUACUAUAAUAUCGCAUACGACCUACGGGUGAAAGGAGGGGAACUUCGGACCGUGCGGGAUUGGAUGAGCCGAUGUCGGGUUAGCUAGUUGGGGGGGUAAAGGCCUAGCAAGGCGGCGAUUCGUAGCUGGUCUGAGAGGAUGAUCGCCCGCACUGGAGCUGAGACACGGUCCAGGCUCCUACGGGAGGCAGCAGUGGGGUAUAUUGGGCAACGGGCGCGAGCAUGAUCCAGUCAGACCGCGUGUGAGACGAAGGCGUCGGGGUCGUAAUGCCGUUUUGUGGGGAAAGAAAAGCAGCAGGUUAAUACCAAGCGGGUCUGACGGUACUCAGAAAAUAAGCACCGGCUAACUACGUG
rnacentral:rRNA from 1 species